CAGCCGCCACGGUAAUACGUAGGUGGCAAGCGUUGUCCGGAAUUAUUGGGCGUAAAGCGCGCGCAGGCGGAUCAGUCAGUCUGUCUUAAAAGUUCGGGGCUUAACCCCGUGAUGGAAUGGAAACUGCCAAUCUAGAGUAUCGGAGAGGAAAGUGGAAUUCCUAGUGUAGCGGUGAAAUGCGUAGAUAUUAGGAAGAACACCAGUGGCGAAGGCGACUUUCUGGACGAAAACUGACGCUGAGGCGCGAAAGCCAGGGGAGCGAACGGGAUUAGAUACCCCAGUAGUCCCUGUCUCUUAUACA
rnacentral:rRNA from 1 species